rnacentral:rRNA from 1 species
UACGGAGGGGGCGAGCGUUAUUCGGAAUUAUUGGGCGUAAAGGGCGCGUAGGCGGCUGUACAAGUCAAAGGUGAAAUCCCUCGGCUCAACUGAGGAACUGCCUUUGAAACUGUACGCUUGAGGCCGGGAGGGGGUAGCGGAAUUCCCAGUGUAGCGGUGAAAUGCGUAGAUACUGGGAGGAACACCAGUGGCGAAGGCGGCUACCUGGACCGGUUCUGACGCUGAGGCGCGAAAAGCGUGGGUAGCAAACAGG